CUGACAGGCUACGAGUCGAUCGUGAACUGGCACCCCCGGAACGCGGCCUUGCUCCUCCGGGGCGCAGAGCGUCCGGAAGAGCCGGGGGUCCUGAAGUGCUCGAGGUUGAAGGGCUUGCUCGACGACCUCAUCGAAGCUGUGGAGUUAU
rnacentral:sRNA from 1 species